rnacentral:rRNA from 1 species
UACGGAGGAUGCGAGCGUUAUCCGGAUUUAUUGGGUUUAAGGGUGCGUAGGCGGACGCUUAAGUCAGCGGUAAAAUUGCGGGGCUCAACCUCGUCGAGCCGUUGAAACUGGGUGCCUUGAGUGGGCGAGAAGUACGCGGAAUGCGUGGUGUAGCGGUGAAAUGCAUAGAUAUCACGCAGAACUCCGAUUGCGAAGGCAGCGUACCGGCGCCCAACUGACGCUGAAGCACGAAGGCGUGGGUAUCGAACAGG